GACGAACGCUGGCGGCGUGCCUAAUACAUGCAAGUAGAACGCAAUUGCGAACGGGUGAGUAACGCGUAGGUACCUGCCUCAUAGAGGGGGAUAACUAUUGGAAACGAUAGCUAAUACCUCAUACUGUGAGAUGGACCUGCGUUUUAUUAGCGAGUGGGUGAGGUAAAGGCUCACCAAGGGGACGAUACAUAGCCGACCUGAGAGGGUGAUCUGGCCCACUGGGACUGUGACACGGCCCAGAAUCCCACGGGAGGCGGCAGUAGGGAAUCUUCGGCAAUGGACGGAAGUCUGACCGAGCAACGCGGCGUGAGUGAAGAAGGUUUUCGGAUCGUAAAGCUCUGUUGUUAGAGAAGCGGUAACUAACCCGAAAGGGACGGCUAACUACGUGCCAGCAGCCGCGGUAAUAC
rnacentral:rRNA from 1 species